GUUUAGUGGAGGACUUGUUAGUGUUAGGUAAGAGGUUGGACUGGGUGAUCUUGGAGGUCUCUUCCAACCUAGACGAUUCUGUGAUUCUGUGAAGUUAAGACUGAAAACUAAGAAAGUGUUUUUAACCUGGCUCACAAAAAUGAAUGGUUAGGCUAUGGCUAGGCUACUGGUCAAACGCAGGAACACAAAAGCAAGUAUUUUAACUUCUGUUGAGCAGCGUGCUGAGUCCAUAAUCACAGUCUGUACCCCACGAUUAUAGCUCAUGUAGCUUUGUGAUAUUAAGGAAGAGACUUUGAUAAAGAGUUAUUAAGAUUUGUGAGGAAGGAAAGAGAAUGGCUGAAAAAUCAAGUUGUAUAUGAAAGAAGCACUCAGAAGUUAAGAGAAAGGAAAUCUCCAGGUGAUCCUGAGGAGAUGGAAAAAAUUGCAGUGCUGUGGGGGUAUGCUUUUGGGCAUUACUGUUUUUUAUAGUGAGAGCUGUUUAUAUGAAUAAUUGUCAAUUAUGGUAAUUAUACAUGGAUAGUCCUAAAGAGUCAGGGUUAUUCUGGUGGUGCACAACAUUCAACAGUUAAACAUGAGUAACUUUCAAGAUGUCUCAGCCCCUUUAAUUGCAUGGCAACAGCCACUUCUAACAUCCUCUAGCUUUUGUACUGAAAAAAGAGAGAAAAAAGGCACGUGAAAGGCAAAAUACAUUCUUUUAAAUACAUAUUCACUGUAUUUCUAUUUCCAUUUAUCUGAAGAAAACUUAGAAAAAUCUCAUUAAAAAAAAAAAGGAAAGAAAAGAAACCUAUUUGGCAGUUUUUGAGAGAGAUUUAACAAUAUAAUAUUCUGGGAAAAGGAGAAAUUUAGAGGUAAAUCUAGAGUUGUUCUUGCCAUUGGGGUAUGAUCCUCCUAAAUUAAAGGAAGGUUAAGACCGCUUCUUAACCUUACUUCUAAGAUUUGGAGUGGUAUGCAAAUGUAGAAAUUUAGGAAAGGAAAUUUACCUUCACAGAAUCACAGAAUCAUCCACGUUGGAAGAGACCUCCAAGAUCACCUAGUCCAACCUCUGACCUAACACUAACAAGUCCUCCACUAAACCAUAUCACUAAGCUCUACAUCCAAACG
rnacentral:lncRNA from 1 species